AUUGAACACUAGCGGCAGGCUUAACACAUGCAAGUCGAGCGAGCGGCGGACGGGUGAGUAAUGUAUGGGGAUCUGCCCGAUAGAGGGGGAUAACUACUGGAAACAGUGGCUAAUACCGCAUACUAUUGGAUGAACCCAUAUGGGAUUAGCUAGUAGGUGGGGUAAAGGCUCACCUAGGCGACGAUCUGUAGCUGGUCUGAGAGGAUGACCAGCCACACUGGGACUGAGACACGGCCCAGACUCCUACGGGAGGCAGCAGUGGGGAAUAUUGGACAAUGGGCGAAAGCCUGAUGCAGCCAUGCCGCGUGUAUGAAGAAGGCCUUCGGGUUGUAAAGUACUUUCAGUCGGGAGGCGGUACCGACAGAAGAAGCACCGGCUAACUCCGUGCCAGCAGCCGCGGUAAUUC
rnacentral:rRNA from 1 species